UACGUAGGGGGCGAGCGUUGUCCGGAAUGAUUGGGCGUAAAGGGCGCGUAGGCGGCUACUUAAGUCUGGAGUGAAAGUCCUGCCUUCAAGGUGGGAAUUGCUUUGGAUACUGGGUAGCUUGAGUGCAGGAGAGGUAAGUGGAAUUCCCAGUGUAGCGGUGAAAUGCGUAGAGAUUGGGAGGAACACCAGUGGCGAAGGCGACUUACUGGACUGUAACUGACGCUGAGGCGCGAAAGUGUGGGGAG
rnacentral:rRNA from 1 species